rnacentral:rRNA from 1 species
GUCCACGCCCUAAACGAUGUCAACUGGUUGUUGGUCCUUAGCUGGAUCAGUAACGAAGCUAACGCGUGAAGUUGACCGCCUGGGGAGUACGGCCGCAAGGUUGAACUCAAAGGAAUUGACGGGGACCCGCACAAGCGGUGGAUGAUGUGGUUUAAUUCGAUGCAACGCGAAAACCUUACCCCCUUUGACAUGUACGGAAGUCGCCAGAGAUGGCUUCGUGCUCGAAAGAGAGCCCGUAACACAGGUGCUGCAUGGCUGUCGU